GUAUCAGUGGCAAUGCCGGCGGCUAAUAAUCCUCCAAGCAGCACUACCAUUGUUCCAUCAACAACAACACAGCACAUCACAGUACCCCACUUAACAAACCUGACAAGCAGUGGUGCGAUUCCGUCAUUUCCAUCAGCAGCAGCAACAAACCCUACAAAUUUACCCCCACCACAAGCAACGACAAAUUAUCCAUCACAAAGCAACAUCCCAUCUUCAUUUCAUAACAUAUCACCAGACCUGCCAUCGAAUUCGACAUCCUCAUCGACAUCAUCGGACUUGGAACUGGAAGGGAGGAGGAACAAGAAGAGGAAAUGGAGGGACUUCUUUGAGAGGCUGAUGAAGCAAGUGGUGGACAAGCAAGAGGAGCUACAGAUGAAAUUCUUGGAAGCUAUAGAGAAGCGCGAACAUGAAAGAAUGGUUAGAGAAGAGGCUUGGAGAAUGCAAGAAAUUACAAGAAUCAAUAGAGAGAGAGAAAUUCUAGCCCAGGAAAGAUCAAUAGCAUCAGCCAAAGAUGCUGCUGUCAUGGCUUUCUUGCAAAAGUUAGCCGAACAGCAAAACCCCGGCAGCCAAGUUGUUAUAAGUACUAGUAAUAACAGUAUUCCUGCUCCACCAAUAAUAUUACCUCCAGUCCCCGCACCCGCACCAGUUCAAUCACAGCCGCCCCCACUGCAGCCAACUUCGACGCCAGCACCUGCACCGCCGCCGCCGCCGCAUCAGCAGCAGCCUCUUUUUAGUACAGAGAGAACGAAAACGGAUAACGGUGGAGAGAGAAACAAUUACACGGUAGGAACAAGUUCAUCAAGAUGGCCUAAAGUUGAGGUAGAAGCGCUGAUAAAGAUGAGGACAAGUCUUGACUCCAAGUAUCAGGAAAAUGGACCAAAAGGGCCGUUGUGGGAAGAAAUAUCAGCUGGGAUGAGGAGGCUAGGCUA
rnacentral:lncRNA from 1 species